rnacentral:rRNA from 1 species
AGGCGACGACGGGUAGCCGGCCUGAGAGGGUGACCGGCCACACUGGGACUGAGACACGGCCCAGACUCCUACGGGAGGCAGCAGUGGGGAAUAUUGCACAAUGGGCGAAAGCCUGAUGCAGCGACGCCGCGUGAGGGAUGACGGCCUUCGGGUUGUAAACCUCUUUCAGCAGGGAAGAAGCGAAAGUGACGGUACCUGCAGAAGAAGCACCGGCUAACUACGUGCCAGCAGCCGCGGUAAUACGUAGGGUGCGAGCGUUGUCCGGAAUUAUUGGGCGUAAAGAGCUCGUAGGCGGUUUGUCGCGUCGAUUGUGAAAGCCCGGGGCUUAACCCUGGGUCUGCAGUCGAUACGGGCAGGCUAGAGUUCGGCAGGGGAGACUGGAAUUCCUGGUGUAGCGGUGAAAUGCGCAGAUAUCAGGAGGAACACCGGUGGCGAAGGCGGGUCUCUGGGCCGAUACUGACGCUGAGGAGCGAAAGCGUGGGGAGCGAACAGGAUUAGAUACCCUGGUAGUCCACGCCGUAAACGGUGGGCACUAGGUGUGGGCAACAUUCCACGUUGUCCGUGCCGCAGCUAACGCAUUAAGUGCCCCGCCUGGGGAGUACGG